CGUGAUGUCCACUGUCAGCAGGUGGACUGACAUCUAGGAAGGCCACACCCAAGGGCAGAGCAAGAGAAGGGGACACACAAGGGGCGUUUCCAUGGGACAUUCUAUCCCAAACAAGGGUUCAGCAAGGGGGUAACAUCACAAAGGAACGGUGAGCGUAGCCCGACCCUGGGGCUGCAGGAAGGCGCGCCUGCGCACGAAGACACAUUUUGUGACAUUUUGUGACUUCCAAGAUCAGGGUAGCCAUCUAGAGCCACUUUGAUGUGGCCAGAUCACUUGGAAGUGACCAACAGAGCCUCAACGGAUCAGAGAAUGGAAAUGCUGGUCACAUAGUGUGAUGGCCCCCCACAGAUCCAUGAGGGACUCUAGUUUUGAAAGCCCAGGUACCGUAUAUGCAAUGUGUCCCUUGGCAGCCGUGCCUCCCUAGUGCCCCUGGUGUUGGUGAGCAUGGGCCAGGCUGGACCACGGAUCAAGCAGUCUCCAGAUCCACAAUGGCUCAUUUCCAUCCAGGCUCCGUGCCCAGGGGAGGUGACAGGUUUUAACUGCGGUCCUUACCCCAGGACCAGGCUGGCUGCCGGCACCGCCCCCAGGCAACACAGUUUCUCCCAUUUCCUCCAACCAGGCCAGCCCCUGGCCAAGCAAACACCACGCCUCCUACUGUGCAGGGGUGGGGCAGCAGGUGGCAGCCCAGCAUGGUUCUAGGAGUGACCAUAGCAUCUGGAGUGGCCAUAGCAUCUGGACCAGCAGAGCUGUCCCCCGUCAGAGCAGACACACAGGCAUCGCCUGCCACUGGCCUGGCCUUGAGAGUCUGCAGGGCUGCAGAGGCAGGGCCCCCAACUGCCCAGUGCCCAGGGCGCCUGGAGAUGUGCACCUCUCUCUGAUAGCCUGCAUCCCUAAGGGUCAGGCCACUCCCCCGUCCAGAGAGCCACAGGAAGGCUGACCCUAUUGCUCAGUGCAGAGCACUCCUGUGGGGUCUUGGCCACUCAUCUGUCCCCAGCUUCCAAGGCCUGGCUGGCCUUGGCCCCUCCUCUGCAGACCCCAAGGUGGGCUUGGGUUUCGGAGACACCUGCAGGAGGGCAACAUCCAUGCUGGUGGGGCUGGCUGACUCUGGUCACAGCAGCCCCCAAGCCAUUCCUGGUGCCCCAGGCCACCUGAAGGGCAGUGAAGGUCCAGUCACACUGCAGCCCUGAGGCUCCUCGGUGUCCCAGCUCAGGCAAGGCCCAUGUGCAGUCCCCCUCUGGGCCCUGCAGAGUCAGAGCCGGGCCUGCCUUGCACAGGGAGGGCCAGAAGACAGGGCCCGGCAGCAUGACGGCUGCUGCUGGGAUUUCUGCAGUCCCUGAGCCGCCUCAGCUCCUCCUUCUCACAGUCUUGUGUCCAGGAGGCCCCAUCAUUCGCCCACCCAGGGAGGCUCACAGGCUCCUGGGCACAGCAGGAGCCACAGGGUAAGCAGAGGCCUGGGGGCAGCAGUUCUGCGGUCUGUCCAGAGGUCAGCAGCACAGCUCUCAGCCUGGGCGCCCAUCCACUCCCCAGUCUUAAGAAGCUGCACUCUCGGGGCAGCACGUCCAGCCAGUGUCCAGGUGGGUGCUGCCGGGCUGAGGAUGGCCUCCUCUUGGUGGGGUUUUUCUGGCUGCCAACCCCUGCUCACCCAGAUGGCUCAGGCCCACCUGCCACCCCUCCUCCUGCCCCCGGGGACGUGGGGCCUGGCAGACGUCAGGGAGGGCACACCUUCCAGGUGCAGAUGGCCCCUGGGCCAGGACCAGAUGGGCCCCUGGGCCACACUGGGAGGGGAAGCUCCUGCCCAGGGCUGCGGGAAGCACCAAUGUUGCUGCUCAGCCUCCUCCAAGGUGUGUUAAAAAUGGGACCAGCAGAGGCACCUCGUCCUCCAUGCGCCAAUGACACUGACAAUGAGACUAAAAAUAACAGGCGCUUCUCCUGCAGGCGAGAGUGCGAGCUCACGCUGCCUCCCGCUGCCUCCCGCAAGCGGCUCCCUCCCACACCACCGAGGGGAACAGAGCCAGGCAGCUGGAGCCGCAGAGCAGAGCAGGGCCCUGGGCCCCUGGACCCCCAGAGAUGGCAGCAAAUCCCACCUGGCCAGCUGGCGUCACUGCCCACGCACACUUGGACCCCACAGGCCAGUGGUUUUUGGAGUAGACUGGGAAAGGGCAGCGAAGGGCCACUUGGGCCUGUCUUUCCUGCUUCAGAACUGCUCUGGACUUUCUCCUGGUGCCAUUGGAUGUCCUUGUCCAGUGAGGAGGCUGGCAUGACGGGGCAGUGGGCAUCACCUGAGCAGCACCAACCUUCCUCUCCCCUGGCUCAUGGCAGAGGGGUCUCCAACCUAGAGCUAGGGCCACAGGCUCCAGAAGCUCCAAAGUCCCUCCUCCACAGGUCAGGAGGCCGGGAGCAGGGGAGGUAGUCCAGUGGGUGGUGUAGGCCAGGUGAGGCCCCGUGCCCUUGCUCCCCACCUGCUCGCCAUGUCCACUGCCUUGUCGGGACGUGCCCCAGCAGUGCCACCUGGGAGCUCAGGGCUGGCACAGCCUAGACUGGAGCCCCUCACAAGUUCCUCCCAGUGGAGGGGCUGAGACCCUCCUGCUCUCCUGCUCCUGCCCACUCCACAUUCCCUGGCCACAGCUCCAGCACAUGGACCUGGACUUGUGGGACUUGUCAGGCGACAGGUCCUGGGGGAGGCACAGGAAUCUCAAACCCAGAGAGCACCCAGGGCACCAGGCUUCCCCUGUCUUCUCCCAUCUGCCAACGUGUCCUCCCUGCAAAGUGGGGCAGGGCCUGGGAGGAGGUCGCUGAGCCACCUCUAGAUGGGGUCUCUGCACUGGGGCCUGGCUUGGAGACAGUGUAGUCAGCGUCCCCUCCAACCAGCUGCUCUGGGAGCAAGUGCCUGGGGCAAGAGCCACAGCCUCCAUGCAGGCAGCAGCUCUGUCCCUGCCACGCCUGCAGGGCCCCAUGGCAUCCACGUUGCCCAGUCUCUGCCCAGGCCCUCUGGAAAGGACCUGGUACCCACAAUGGGGGAGGCACAGGAACCUCAAGCCCAGAGAGCACCAAGGGCUUGAGCCAGUGUUGAGGGAUGACUCUUGCUGAGGGUCACCAAGGACCCCACUCCUCUGGGCCUCAGGAGACCAGCCUGCCUCCAGUUCCCUGGCCAUCUACUCCCAGGCCAAGGAGAGAAUGAGGCCCUUGUGGGGACAGAAGCCCCUGCAGGCCAGGGUGCGCAGACAGGGCCCCGUCCAGUCGCGCUCCACUGUCCCAAGGUGGUCGCAGCAGCUUCUCGUCUCCCUUCCCCUCCCGGGGGCGGGCAACUCUGCCAGCUGUCUCCAGAAAGUGUUUGUGAUCUGACUCCUGGAAAAACCAUCUGAUUGACAGGCUCCGAGAGAUGGGCAAACCCCACGGCAGGGCAGGAGGCAGGGGUUUCUUCAGAUCGCCUGCCAGGCUGGAAUCCAGCACUAAGUGGGGACAUGAAGGGCCCUGGAAAACUCUCUCAGAGCACGUGGGUGUCCAGGUGUCUGAUGCCACAGAAUCUCAUUUUGUAGGCCCUUGCCCCAAGCAAAUGGAGGCUUGGUCCAGGAGGUCAAGUUCAAGGGGGCUAGGGAUUUAGCUCAGUUGGUAGAGUGUUUGCUUUGCAUGCACAAGGCCCUGGGUUCUAAUCCCCAGCACACACACACAAAAAAGGUCAAGUUCAAAAACAAAAAGGCUGCCUCCUAACACACACACACACACACACACACACACACACACACAGGGGCAAAAACAAAAUCUACACCCAUGCAUGCUCACACACUCGCUCAUACAGGCAUGCACACACCAGCCCUUUCUCAGCACUGUGGGGUGUGUUGAGGACCAGUGGCUAACGAGUAUUGAAUAACUGAACACAAGGGACAUGCUGCUAGGUUUCACAGUCGGACAGGAGUCCUGCUUAGCUCAGUGACCGGCAGAACACAUCCACUGCCACCUCCACUGGCCACCCCAUGAGCAUCACAGUUGCCCAAGCUCUCAGCACCCCUGCAGCCCACAGCCAUAGGCCCACAGGCCACCAAAGGGCUAGAUCUGUGUGUAGGAGGAACGGCCUCUGAAAGGGACUGGUCUCCCUGCUCCAUCGCAGCACUGGCCAACCAGGACACACCUGGACAGUCCCCUUGCUCUGCCCCUGCAGCAUCCUGAGGCUCACUGAAGCUGAGUUCUGUGACCCUAAGGGUGGGAAACUGCAGCUGGACCUCAGGGCCCUCUCAGGACACUACAAAGAGCCCAAGGACACAGGCCUCACUGACACCACCCCAUCUCAGUGUGGCCCUGCUGCCUGUGUGGGUCACACACGUGGGUGGGGCCUCACCAAGGUGUCAACAUGGAGGAUGGCUAACAUCAGCUGCUCCUGGUCUAUCUCUGGUCAUCCGUGGGCUGCAAGGGCCUUGACCUGCUGAGAUGUAGGCUUGGCCCUCCCCACAGAGGGUUCUAAGUCUGUGACCCAGGAGAAAAGAGCCUAGGGUGGGGACACCUGUAGAGGUGUGUUCUGGGCAGAGAUGUCACAGUGAGGAGGUACUGGGAGCAGGAACCCUGGUGCCCUCCAGGACAGGGGGUACAGUGCCCUGAGAGAAGCAGAGGUGGCCCUGGAAUGCUGCCACCUGUUGGCAGCAGCCAGGCCCCUGGGUGGCCCCGUGGCUCUGGGCCCCCACUCCUUGUCCUCACAGGGGAGGGCUGACUAUAGACUGGGAGUCUUAUGUGAGGAUCUCCAAGUCCAGUUGCACCCCAUCUGGGGCCUGGCAGCUAGUGAGGCUUUGACUUCAUACCCCACCUCCUGGUGUCACAUUGCCAGGAGCUGAGGAGGGAGACCCUGCUGGGCUCUCCCUGUGGCCUGCCUGAGCAGUGGCCCUCUGGGCACACAGAGGCAUGCUGCAGAGCAGCUGGCCAGAGUUCUUGGCAUGCACUCACGCUGGGCUGAGAUGCUGCUCACAUUUUUCUAGGUGUGUAUAGUGGAAACAAAACCAAAAUAUUAUCACAAGGCUAAGUUUGUUUUACAGCUGCUUAUGAUAUAUGACGGUGCUUGUUUGAGCCUCAUCUAAACAGCUUCCCCGAGCUCCCAGCCACUUCCCCCCACACACACACUCCUGGCAGCUGAGUCUGAGGGUGACUCCAGAGAUUCUCCAUGCAGCACCAGGGGAGAGAAGCCCUGGCCUGAGAGGGUGGGGUCUUCUCAGCAGGAGACUGACAUCCUGAGGCUCCAGGCCCAGUUUUCUCCUGGGCAUAGUUGGACAAGUUCCAGUUCUUAGGGUAGAGAUUGAAGGAGAGUCAUUUUCUCAGCAGGGGUGUUAUCUGCCAAGGGCUUGGGAUUCCUGUAUUUGCUGUGACUAACCUGACCAUGCGGUUCUGAAGCUUUGGAACUUGUUUGUGGGAGGAAUUUUGAAAAGUUCAGAGUUGCAAGCUGGAAAGACUUUAGAAUGUUAUAGCUUAACUGAAAAUUCUGGUGGGAGCUCAGAAGACCAGGACUGUGGACAGUAAAGACUGGGCUCAUAAGGUUGCAGAGCAGAAAUAGGACACUAUUGGAAACUGGACUACCGGCCAUUUGUCUUAUGUUCUGGCUAUGAAGUUGUCUGCAUUUUGCCCACAUUCUGAGAUUUUCUGUGAGGUUGAAUUUAAAGGUGGUGGAUUAAUUAAUGUGGUGGAGAAAAUUUCAAGGCAGCUCAGCAUUCAGGAGGUAGUGUAGAUAUUGCUGGUGGCUUCUAGCCAAGUUUACUUUGAUAAUCAGGAGUAGGAGGUAGAGCAAAAAAAAUUUGAAAAACUUGCAGUGUGGCUAGAAAAGUUUGAGUAAAACUGAGGCCAAGGAAGAUAUGGUUAUUAAAGAAAUUAUAACUACUACAGAAAUGCUAAGUACUUUAUCCAGAAACAAUAAGAGAGAUGGUUUUAGGGGAUCCCAGGAAUUGGCAAGACCACGCCCAUCUAGGGUCAAGGGUGUAAAAGUAAAAAUUCCUUUGGGAAGAGACCAGUGCACCCUGCAUGAACAGGAGUUCCUAGCAACUUGUUUCACUGUGCUGGGCUGCCCAGGCACUCAGAGGCUGCUGCAGCCAUGGUCCCCGGAGAUGUGAUGCUGGUUUUGCAGAAAUGCAGGAUGCUAGAGGUAGGGGGUCAGGGAGGAUUCCACUGAGAUUUCAAAGAAAGGCCUCAGAGGCAUAAGCAGCCUCUGUUGACUUCUUGCUCCUGCAUCAAGGCCACUGUAAGCCAUCAACUCUGCUCAGCUCCAUGUGGUCCUCACAGCAGGACCUAGCUCACCAGAGGCCACAUCUGCAGACUAGUAACAAAUGCACCCCACAUACACACACCACGAGCUGACAGGUGCUAUGCAGAGCACCUCCCAGGGUCUUGCAGGAAGGCCUCUGCUGGGCUCAGCCAUGAUGGGCAGGCACACAGCCAGGAAGUCCCUGCUUCCCAGGAAGGUCAAAUGGGAACAAAGGCAGCAGGCAAGUCACCCAUGAGCAGGGGCCAGUUUCCAAAAUGAAGCCCCAGGAAGGAAAUUCAGCAGGCUAAGGACUGCUCUGUACCCUGAUGAGACCUCAGGAACACAAAGUCCCAGGGCCUGUGGAAUUGAACAGGCUCGCCCUGCUGGCCUGGCGGAGGAAACAGUAACAAGCUCAGAGCUUCUCAGCGGAUGCAGGAAGCAGCUUGACAGGUCCCGCCUCUUCUGAAAAUGCUGCACAGCCCGGAAGAGCAGGACCUGCUCCUGAACCUGGGGUCCACACUGAAAAGCCAACGCCUGGCCUAACUGGCAGAAGGCUUGGGUGUUUCUCCAAAGACUCUGGAAAAUCCUGAGUGACUUCUCCAAGACCAAGGCCUGACGCAGUGAGGUGGGACCCAGCCGAGGGAAAGAGGGGAGUACCGGGGGAAGGGCUGCCCAGCCCUGCCUCUGUACUCAGCACCCGCCCAUCUGGCAGGGGUCCUCGACUCCUCGCUGAGCCCUGGCGAGCAGGAACAUGGCCGGGCACCAUCUGAGGCUGAACACCGGGGAUUCAGGUGCCCAAGCCACCCUCCGAGUACAGGUGGACAGAUAGGCCCUGGAGCCCGAUCCUGUCCCCACACAGGUGGCAAAGUGGUCUACACUGACCAGCAACCAGGGGCCUUCACAGUGGCCUCCGUAUGGCCGCCCAACCUUAUCUCCUAAACCUCGGGAGGACAGAGGGUGAGGGCCCCUGGCUGUGUGUCAGGGCCAGCAUGCAGCCACAUCACAGCUGGAGCCCAGGGCCUCUGAGCCAAGGCCCUCAGGCUCAUGGCCCUGGGGCAGCCUCUCCCCAGAGCCCGGCUUCCAGCCAAGGCUCCCACCCCAUCCAGGACAGAUCAACGGCUGGACCUCGCCUGUGCCCACAGAGGGUGUGGCACUCCAGGUUGGUCUAGUGCUGAGAGGAGGGGCCGGAGCCCCAGGCACAGGUGGGGAGCACAGCUGACCCGAGAGCAAGGCCAGGCACAAAAGCUGCCCUUCACUAGAAGAGAACUUGGGAGCACAGAGCCUGGAGCUGGUCAUGAGGUCCAGGGAACCAGCAACAGGCCACCGGCAGGGGACUCCCGAGCUCAGGCCCCACCAGGGCUUCUGUGCCAGUCAGGGAUGUCCUGCACGUUUUGGCACUGGUCCUUGCCCAGGCUGCUCAACGGGCCAUCGACUGUCCCUAGCUGCGGUAGAAGCACCUCCUGAGGGAGUGAUUUUGGAAGCAAGUGACUGAGGUCUUCUGACACCAUCUCAUGCCACAUCUCUACUGCAGGGGACAGGUGCCCUCCCGCGGCAUAGACCCCAUGGCCCAGGCUCCACAGGGUCAGCCUCAGCGCCAGUCACAGCCUGGACUCCUCUCCACUUGGCUCCCUUCUGGAAGAUGGGAGUCUCCUGCCCAAGCUGGGCCUGCUCACCUGCAGCCCGCAGUGCUGGGUCCUGUGGAGAGGAGCAGCCGGGGCAACAGCUUUCUUGUCACAGGAGCAUCCUGCCUUGGGACUUUGGGCCUAAUUCUGGGCCAAGAACAGACAGUUGCAAGGAGGUGGCCUUCCUCCCACCAUCCCCAGGGCCAGGUCCCUGCUCCUGCUGGACACCUGCUGCCAGCCCCCUGCCACUGUGUGUACCCACUGGUGGUGAAAAGCACUUGCAGGACCUGCCACCUCAUCAGGGGAACUUAGAGCAGAGACCAUGGCCUGCAGUUGAGGACAGCCCAUGGACAUCCAUGUGGACAGUUCCUGCUGAGAAGUUCCAGACCUUGGUUUGUGGUCACUGGGUGGGAACUCGGGGGGUCCUGUCCGGCCAACCCCUCCUGGGACCUCGUGGCCUCCAGGAAAGAUAUUGGAAGCAGGGCUGGCUGACCAGUCAGGGCUGCACCCAGGCCCCCAACUCCCCAUCCACCCAGGACUGCCUGAACAGAUGGCCUCGAGCACCCACUGCUGAAGAACUCUGUGGGCGUCUCACAUCCCCUCAGCCCAGUCUUCACGGCUGGCAGGUGGAGCUGCGGGUGCAGGACAUCCCUGUGGUGCCAGGAAAGCAGGGGCACAGUGGGGUCCUCUGCUCAGGGCUUCCUGGCCUGCAUGCCCAGCCUGGCCGCAGGACAGACCCACUAGUGCCCCAGCCCCCGUGCACAGCCCCACGGCAGCAUCACCACCCCCCCCCCCCCCCGGCCCCACUGACUACAAACCUCAAAGGGCAGCAGGGUGCACUGGACAUGGCAGGCCCGCUGCCCUGGCCAAGUCUCUGACCAAGGUGGGGUCACGUGGUCAGGAACAGGGCUCUGACCAAGGUGGGGUCACGUGGUCAGUUCCCGGGAAGGAGCUUUCUUCCCCUCGCUUAGCUCUCCUUGCUGCCCCACCUCCCUCCCACCUGGGGAGGGGAGGCCAGUUGGGUGCGCUGAAUGGCAUUUUCGCUGCUGACUGGAACCCCCAAACUUGCACAAUUCAGAGGGGAAAGGUCAUCUGGAUCAGGGCUUAAGGCUCAGCCCAUGGCCAGCGGUGCAUCGCCCUGGGCUGGAGCUGAGGCAGAGCUUCACAGCAGCUGGACUGUGUGGCGGAGGAAGCCACUCUGCUCCUGGCUGCUGGGCGGACCCACUGAUGAGGUCAGAGUCCCCAUGACCCAACCGCCAUCCCAAAGGCCCCGCCCCUGGACACUGCUGCACCAGGGACUAACCAUCACAGCAGCCCUGGCGAGAGGUGAAGUGGACAUUGCUGGGUGGGCCUGGAGAAAAGCUUUUACAAGAGAACAGAAGUGACCUUCCUAGUAAAAGUGACCCUUCCUAGUU